UCCCCUCCCCUCCCCUUCCCUUCCCUUCCCACAAGUGGCAGCCACAGAUGUUCUGCAGAGCGGUUGAAAACCAUUAGGCUACACGACUGGAAGGUACUCCCGGAUUAUCUUCGUGCGAGUUUAACCUCCAAGAUACACCAUGUCCCAGGGACUCUGCUUGGUCAGGAAAACGGAGUUCUCGGCAGGGAAGCCAGGCACUUGCCAGGCACGUUAUGCAGCUGGGACGGAGCCGUCCCACCCAGCUAACAGUCCGGCCCUAGCGCACUGGACCUGGCUCAAGGACAGCAAAACCCAUUCCAGAUCCCGCUACUGGCACACUUGAGAUUGAUGAGACGCUCUCGUUCCUGGUCAGGACAGGGCCAGACACUGCCCAGUUGCAUUCCCCACAUUCUCCAGCAUGUGACUGAUUGGCCAAGCAAGGGAGGACUGAGUUCCUCCACCCACGGGGGACCAGACAAGAGGAGAGUUUCCCAGGGGAGGCGAGAGCCAGCGACUGGGGGCCUCAACAACUCUAGUGUGUACCCGGAGCCUACGACUGGAGGCUGAGACGGGCGUUUCCAUGGAAUGAUCAUGGCUCCUGCUCGCACGCGGUGCACCCUCGUCUUGAUCUGGAGCCCUGCACGUCACUCGGACCUGCACGAGAGUGGGAAUCUGCAUUCUCCCCAGGAUAAAGGGACUGGAACGAACUCCCUUGAACAGGCUGUUCUGGAGCAGUUUCUGGCCGGGGCCCGAAGCUGAAGACGACAGAGGAGCCAGACUCUCCAGGAAGGAUUCGCUAAGUGGUUCCAAGCAGACCCUACGACCCUUGCUCAGUGCCUGCCACCUGCCUGCACGCGGAGGGAGCCGGGCCCUGAGAGAAGGGAGCAGCCCGUAGAAAGAAGAGAGAGGGUCACGAGUUUGCUCUGGUCCCCUUUGGGAGAGCGGUCAGCGUGCUUUCUCUGCCUGCCGCAAGGGUAGAGGCCAGCCUCGGGGACCCUCAUCCUGCCCCUGUCCCAGCAUCUGGGCCACAGAGACUGGUGCCUGACUCUUGCCUGGGCAAGUUCAAAGGCGAGAAGACAAGUCCGAAGCUGCCGUGGUUGGCACAGCCUACACUCCAGAGCCUGGCGGGCGGAGGGGCUAAGUCUUCCCGACCCUGAAGGUGGCCGGCCAGAGUGAGCCUCCCAAGGACACGCCUGCCAGGGGGAGAAGACACCACCGCAGAGCGGCUGUGAGAUAUGCCCUUCCUGGACAUCGGAAAAUUCUCCGGUCAUGUGACGUUUUGUAGGAUGACUUUCAAAGACCCGUUGAAGGUGUCAACCAUGGGCUCCCCUGAUUUUAAAGGCUUGUGUUUGACCAGAACCAGAGCAAGUUGAAGACAUCUAUCCAAACAGAGCUCUAAAUUUCAUCCCAUCUCCAGAAACACCACCACCAUCCCCAUCGCCAACAGUGAAACAACAGAAAGUUCUAAACCGAAUCCACUGCAAAAAACAUGCCACACUAUCUUUGAUUUUAUUGCGUAGAGACAUUUGUCACUGAUCCCUCAGCUCCACCCUGGCCAUCUGCUCAGCGCCUGGGGCUUGGCCAUCUAAAGGCCACUCUACCAUUUAUCUGACAGAAGGAUUUUUUUGCAAAGGAACAUUUCAAACAGCAAUGGAAAUGCAGGAACCAGAAGACUUUGGUUUCCCCAACUUUUCCUGAAAAAGCAGACAAAGGACUCUUAGCCAAAGUUCAAACCCUUUGCUGACAAUUAGGUUAAUUUAUCCCACUCCUCGUACUCAAGCCUCUUUGCGGUGGUAGAGAUGGUAUCAGACAUUUUUGUGCCUCUGCCUUUGUUUUUUCUCCUUUUCAUAAAGCAGGUUUUCUCUAAAGGAACCCAGAGGGUUAAUCUGAGAACAAAGAUGCUUUUAAACCCCAAACCAUGUCUCCCUAAAAACACCUGUGACUAGAGACUCCAGGCCACAAUCCGUGGCUGUGCUGGUACAUUGUGUUAGCAGUGUUCUUUCGUGUCUGGCCAAGAAAGAAGAGAGGGGAGAUCCAUCUGCUCUAGAAAAAGUAUCCAUGGAAUAAAAUGCAUCCGAAUGAGAAAAUACCCUUUUUAUUAAAGCAAAACUUCUAGAGAGGUGAAGUCGACUGAAAGAGGGAUUUCGCUUGUCUAUUUGUUUGCUUCAAUGAGACUUCAAAAUGUUGUUGACCCAUUUUGGAAAUAAGACUUGGCCCAACAAUGAAAAUCACUCACUUCGGUGGAUGAGUCAGCCAUGUCCACCUUCUUCCGGUGGUUGGGGAUUAAGUCCUCAGUGACUUGAUUAUUUUCUCAAGAGUGCGAGAGUGGACAUUCUUCUUCUGGUUUGUUGUUUUAAUGUUGACUAAACAAGAGUGGCAGUGACUUAUCCCCACACGAAGCUCUCCCGGCUCGCUGGAGGAGUGGAAGCUAUUAAGAAGGUGAAACGUAAGACCUGAUUUUGUUAACCUAAAUUGAAUCAUCGCGCUGAAUUUAAUUCUAAUUGUUGAAACAGCUGCCAUUAACGAGCCUCCUCCGCCUCCACUAGGCUUCCCCGAAGCCCAUAUCAUCUUCUCCCCCGUCUUAUCUGGGACUGAUUUCAGAGAGUCAUUUGUGUUUAAGAAAUUGUUUUUUCAGUGAGUGUCAAACAUUCCAACCCGGCCAUCUAAAUCUGCGUUUAAGUGAUAGACGCAUGCCGGUGCCCUUAAAUAGACAGCUACCGCCUGCAGGAUGUGGCCCUAAGUCUGAGCCUUGGAAUCUAGGCCAUUCCCUUCUGCCCCUUGUUUACCUUCGAAUUUUACCCCUGAUCAUUCUCUUGCCUAAACCUUCCACCACAAUUUGCCGGUUCUAACCACUGCAGUGGUCUCAUCCUUGUCCUUUUGCACGUGUGACUUUCUCCAUCCAGAAAAGCCCUUCCUUCUUCCUAGCUAUCCAUCCAGGCUCCAUUCUAGUUCCAAAUCUUCUGUGAGGUCACGCCUGAAAGUUCCAGCCUCCCUUUCAUCUCAUUUUAUCUUCGACCUCUAUUACUCGUUGCCCAUACUUGUUAAAAGACACAUCCAUACCCUGUAUGAAUUCGACUGGAGAAGAGGCUACAGCAGGAAGGAGUGGAGGCAGGAAGAUCAGGUGAGGCUGUGGUGGUCAACUUCUGAGAGUAACGCCUGUCUUCUCUUAAAGCCCCAUGCCCUCGGAGAGUCCGUGGGUUGCCGUUUCUCCAGGCUCUGCAAGUGGUGACGGUGGGCAGCAGGAAGGGAGGGGCGGGCUUCCUAGUAAAUAACCCAACCGUGAGAUUUUGCUGUGACUAUGAGACUCUGCUCCCCUUGCUACAGGCCCUUGCCUGCCCCAUUUGUUUCUUAGGUGUGUUCUGUUGUUGCUCUUGGUUCCUUGG